rnacentral:rRNA from 1 species
GACGAACGCUGGCGGCGUGCUUAACACAUGCAAGUCGAACGGAAAGGCCCUGCUUUUGUGGGGUGCUCGAGUGGCGAACGGGUGAGUAACACGUGAGUAACCUGCCCUUGACUUUGGGAUAACUUCAGGAAACUGGGGCUAAUACCGGAUAGGAGCUCCUGCUGCAUGGUGGGGGUUGGAAAGUUUCGGCGGUUGGGGAUGGACUCGCGGCUUAUCAGCUUGUUGGUGGGGUAGUGGCUUACCAAGGCUUUGACGGGUAGCCGGCCUGAGAGGGUGACCGGCCACAUUGGGACUGAGAUACGGCACAGACUCCUACGGGAGGCAGCAGUGGGGAAUAUUGCACAAUGGGCGGAAGCCUGAUGCAGCAACGCCGCGUGCGGGAUGACGGCCUUCGGGCUGUAAACCGCUUUCGCCUGUGACGAAGCGUGAGUGACGGUAAUGGGUAAAGAAGCACCGGCUAACUACGUG